AUGUGUCGCUCGUGGCUCGUGCGGGCUCACGGUGUUCCUGCCCAGAGACUGUCCACCUCCAACAGCGGCAAAGCCACUGCCCUGAAGCCUGCACACCCUGAAAACAGAGCUGACACCUGGGAGAGUUUCGACAGUGCUGCGAACUCAAGAGCAGGCUUCUGCAAUAGGGGUUCAAAAAGUUAUGUGGGAAAUGGAUUUAGGGUCAUUACCAACAUGCAUGCAGUUCUUGGAUUCUUGGAGUUACCUGCUAAUUUUUGGAGUUUUCCUUUAUGUCCUCCUUCCUAUAUCUCUGUCAAUACAUUACAUCACCAGCAACUUAACUCUGUUUUGAGUUCUGUCCUUGGAAACAGACCGCCUCCAUCUGAACCUUGCUCAGUGUGUGAUCAGCUCCUCCUGUGGUGCUGAGCAGUGAGAUGGCCUCUGCGGCCUGUGGUGGCCUCACCUGUGGAAAGGCCAUUAUCAUCCAUUCACUGGGGAUCGAAUGAGCUGGUCUAUACAAAGCUCUACAGCCAGUGCCUGAUGCCAUUACCUUCUGGCCUUCUCAAGCAAGUUUGGGCUUUCCUUCCCCCAUCUCCCUCAUUUGGAAGACUUCUAUGAAGAGUUCUAUGAUAACAGACUGCUUAGCAAUUUUACUUCUGGUUUGCAACCACUAUGCAAUAUUUUCUUGUGUUCAUUUUGUAUUUUUCAUUUAAGAGCACUUAGAAUGGGGGACCCAUGCUAGGACUCACUAGAAAGCCGCCACUUUUCUCAGGGGUCCAAAUAGUCAAAUAAACAUUGGGUACCCUGUGUAUUCA
rnacentral:lncRNA from 1 species